GAUGAACGCUAGCGGGAGGCCUAACACAUGCAAGCCGAGCGGUAUUGUUUCUUCGGAAAUGAGAGAGCGGCGUACGGGUGCGGAACACGUGUGCAACCUGCCUUUAUCUGGGGGAUAGCCUUUCGAAAGGAAGAUUAAUACUCCAUAAUAUAUUGAACGGCAUCGUUUAAUAUUGAAAGCUCCGGCGGAUAGAGAUGGGCACGCGCAAGAUUAGCUAGUUGGUGAGGUAACGGCUCACCAAGGCGAUGAUCUUUAGGGGGCCUGAGAGGGUGAUCCCCCACACUGGUACUGAGACACGGACCAGACUCCUACGGGAGGCAGCAGUGAGGAAUAUUGGUCAAUGGGUGCAAGCCUGAACCAGCCAUCCCGCGUGAAGGACGACUGCCCUAUGGGUUGUAAACUUCUUUUGUAUAGGGAUAAACCUACCCUCGUGAGGGUAGCUGAAGGUACUAUACGAAUAAGCACCGGCUAACUCCGUGCCAGCAGCCGCGGUAAUACGGAGGGUGCAAGCGUUAUCCGGAUUUAUUGGGUUUAAAGGGUCCGUAGGCGGACUUAUAAGUCAGUGGUGAAAGCCUGUCGCUUAACGAUAGAACUGCCAUUGAUACUGUAAGUCUUGAGUAUAUUUGAGGUAGCUGGAAUAAGUAGUGUAGCGGUGAAAUGCAUAGAUAUUACUUAGAACACCAAUUGCGAAGGCAGGUUACCAAGAUAUAACUGACGCUGAGGGACGAAAGCGUGGGGAGCGAACAGGAUUAGAUACCCUGGUAGUCCACGCCGUAAACGAUGCUAACUCGUUUUUGGGCUUUAGGGUUCAGAGACCAAGCGAAAGUGAUAAGUUAGCCACCUGGGGAGUACGCUCGCAAGAGUGAAAUUCAAAGGAAUUGACGGGGGCCCGCACAAGCGGUGGAUUAUGUGGUUUAAUUCGAUGAUACGCGAGGAACCUUACCAAGACUUAAAUGGGAAUUGACAGCUUUAGAAAUAGAGCUUUCUUCGGACAAUUUUCAAGGUGCUGCAUGGUUGUCGUCAGCUCGUGCCGUGAGGUGUUAGGUUAAGUCCUGCAACGAGCGCAACCCCUGUCACUAGUUGCCAUCAUUCAGUUGGGGACUCUAGUGAGACUGCCUACGCAAGUAGAGAGGAAGGUGGGGAUGACGUCAAAUCAUCACGGCCCUUACGCCUUGGGCCACACACGUAAUACAAUGGCCGGUACAGAGGGCAGCUACACAGCGAUGUGAUGCAAAUCUCGAAAGCCGGUCUCAGUUCGGAUUGGAGUCUGCAACUCGACUCUAUGAAGCUGGAAUCGCUAGUAAUCGCGCAUCAGCCAUGGCGCGGUGAAAACGUUCCCGGGCCU
rnacentral:rRNA from 1 species